CCUUUCCCCCGCCUGUUAGGGCGGAAGGCGGGGGAAAACCCCGGCAGACGGUUAGUCUGCUUCUUCAGAUUUGCAGUCUGACAUGAUAAACACUUCAGAGC
rnacentral:tRNA from 1 species